rnacentral:rRNA from 1 species
AACGCUAGCGGCAGGCGUAAUACAUAGCAAGUCGAGGGGCGAGUCAAGGUACACGAAAGUGUAUUGUUGGCGACCGGCGGACGGGUGGAGUAAUAGGUAGGUAACCGUACCUCAUACUGAGGCAUAGCUGGGAGAAAUUCCAGGUAAUUCCUCAUGAGGUUAUAUGACACAUGUGAUAUAAUCAAAGGUAUCGCAAGGUACUGGUAUGAGAUGGGCUUACUGACCAUUAGCUAGUUGGUGAGAUAAGAGCUCACCAAGGCGAAGAUGGUUAGGGGUUUUGAGAGAGAGAUCCCCCACAUUGGAACUGAGAUACGGUCCAGACUCCUACGGGAGGCAGCAGUAGGGAAUAUUGGGCAAUGGGCGGAAGCCUGACCCAGCCAUGCCGCGUGAAGGAAGACGGCCUUAUGGGUUGUAAACUUCUUUACUAUGCGACUAACUAGAUUUACGAGAUAAUUCUAUAGAAUGUAGCAUAGCAAAAAGCACCGGCUAACUCCGUG